GCCCUCUGCCGGCUUCUACAGCCAUACCAUUCUGAUCUUGGAAGUUAAGCAGGGUCGGGCCCAGCCAGGACCUGGAUGGGAGCCCGCAUGAAAAUACUGGGGAUGGUGAGCU
rnacentral:rRNA from 1 species